CAGUAGCCGCGGUAAUACGAAGGGUGCAAGCGUUACUCGGAAUUACUGGGCGUAAAGCGUGCGUAGGUGGUUGUUUAAGUCUGCUGUGAAAGCCCUGGGCUCAACCUGGGAAUUGCAGUGGAUACUGGGCAACUAGAGUAAGGUAGAGGAUAGUGGAAUUUCCGGUGUAGCAGUGAAAUGCGUAGAGAUCGGAAGGAACAUCUGUGGCGAAGGCGACUAUCUGGGCCAUUACUGACACUGAGGCACGAAAGCGUGGGGAGCAAACAGGAUUAGAUACCCCAGUAGUCCCUGUCUCUUAUAC
rnacentral:rRNA from 1 species